UAGUCAUAUGCUUGUCUCAAAGAUUAAGCCAUGCAUGUCUAAGUAUAAGCGACUUGUACUGUGAAACUGCGAAUGGCUCAUUAAAUCAGUUAUGGUUUAUUUGAUGGUACCUUACUACUUGGAUAACCGUAGUAAUUCUAGAGCUAAUACAUGCAGGAUCGCCCGACUUCGGAAGGGCUGUAUUUAUUAGAUAAGAAACCAACCCGCUUCUGCGGUUGCGUGCUGAGUCACAAUAACUGCUCGAAUCGCACGGCCUUGUGCCGGCGAUGGUUCAUUCAAAUUUCUGCCCUAUCAGCUUUCGAUGGUAGGAUCGAGGCCCACCAUGGCGUUAACGGGUAACGGAGAAUUAGGGUUCGAUUCCGGAGAGGGAGCCUGAGAAAUGGCUACCACAUCCAAGGAAGGCAGCAGGCGCGUAAAUUGCCCGAAUCCUGACACAGGGAGGUAGUGACAAGAAAUAACAAUACAGGGCCACUUUGGUCUUGUAAUUGGAAUGAGUACAAUUUACAUCUCUUCACGAGGAUCAAU
rnacentral:rRNA from 1 species